rnacentral:rRNA from 1 species
UUGUAAUUUGUAGAAGGUGCUUCGGGCGCGGCCCCGGUCCAAGUCCCUUGGAACAGGGCGUCGCAGAGGGUGAGAAUCCCGUACGCGGCCGACGGCCAAGCCUGUGUGAAGCCCUUUCGACGAGUCGAGUUGUUUGGGAAUGCAGCUCUAAAUGGGUGGUAAAUUUCAUCUAAAGCUAAAUAUCUGCCGGAGACCGAUAGCGCACAAGUAGAGUGAUCGAAAGAUGAAAAGCACUUUGAAAAGAGAGUUAAACAGUACGUGAAAUUGUUGAAAGGGAAGCGCUUGCAACCAGACUCGUUCGCGGGUGCUCAGCCGUCCCUCGGGGCGGUGCACUCUCCCGCGUUUCGGGCCAGCAUCGGUUCCGGCGGUCGGACAAAGGCCCUGGGAAUGUAGCUCUCUUCGGGGAGUGUUAUAGCCCGGGGUGCAAUGCGGCCAGCUGGGACCGAGGACCGCGCAUUAGCUAGGAUGCUGGCGUAAUGGUUGCCAGCGACCCGUCUUGAAACACGGACCAAGGAGUCGACCAACCGCGCGAGUGUUUGGGCGUAAAACCCAUGCGCGAAAUGAAAGUGAACGUAGGUGGGAGCCUUCGGGUGCACCAUCGACCGAUCCUGAUGUCUUCGGAUGGAUUUGAGUAUGAGCCCGGCUGGUCGGACCCGAAAGGUACGACCUAUUCAUUUCUUUUUAUUGUUGCGUCGUAGCUAACGUUUUUUCAGAUGGUGAACUAUGCGUGAAUAGGGUGAAGCCAGAGGAAACUCUGGUGGAGGCUCGCAGCGGUUCUGACGUGCAAAUCGAUCGUCAAAUUUGCGCAUAGGGGCGAAAGACUAAUCGAACUAUCUAGUAGCUGGUUCCCGUCGAAGUUUCCCUCAGGAUAGCAGCAACGAAAACAGUCUCAUGAGGUAGAGCAAACGAUUAGAGGUCUUGGGGUUGCAAUCGACCUUAACCUAUUCUCGAACUUCGAAUAUGUGAGAAGUCCUUGUUACUUAGUUGAA